GAUGAACGCUGGCGGCGUGCUUAACACAUGCAAGUCGAACGAUGAAGCUCAGCUUGCUGGGUGGAUUAGUGGCGAACGGGUGAGUAACACGUGAGUAACCUGCCCUUAACUCUGGGAUAAGCCUGGGAAACUAGGUCUAAUACCGGAUAGGAGCGCCUACCGCAUGGUGGGUGUUGGAAAGAUUUAUCGGUUUUGGAUGGACUCGCGGCCUAUCAGCUUGUUGGUGAGGUAAUGGCUCACCAAGGCGACGACGGGUAGCCGGCCUGAGAGGGUGACCGGCCACACUGGGACUGAGACACGGCCCAGACUCCUACGGGAGGCAGCAGUGGGGAAUAUUGCACAAUGGGAGAAAGCCUGAUGCAGCGACGCCGCGUGAGGGAUGACGGCCUUCGGGUUGUAAACCUCUUUCAGUAGGGAAGAAGCGAAAGUGACGGUACCUGCAGAAGAAGCACCGGCUAACUACGUG
rnacentral:rRNA from 1 species